GAUGAACGCUGGCGGCGUGCCUAACACAUGCAAGUCGAACGGAGAUUACGGACGGAAGUUUUCGGAUGGAAGCCUGUAAUUCUUAGUGGCGGACGGGUGAGUAACGCGUGGGCAACCUGCCCUAUACAGGGGGAUAGCAGCUGGAAACGGCUGGUAAGACCGCAUAAGUCGGUUAAAUCGCAUGAUUUGAUCGGGAAAUGAGCAAUCAGGUAUAGGAUGGGCCCGCGUCCGAUUAGCCAGUUGGCAGGGUAAAAGCCUACCAAAGCGACGAUCGGUAGCCGGACUGAGAGGUCGGACGGCCACAUUAGGACUGAGACACGGCCCAAACUCCUACGGGAGGCAGCAGUGGGGGAUAUUGCACAAUGGAGGAAACUCUGAUGCAGCGACGCCGCGUGAGUGAAGAAGUAUUUCGGUAUGUAAAGCUCUAUCAGCAGGGAAGAUGAUGACGGUACCUGACUAAGAAGCCCCGGCUAACUACGU
rnacentral:rRNA from 1 species